UGGUGUUAGAACCACAAUUACAUUUAUUCUUCAAGAUUCCGAAUGUCCUGAUAACAAUUAUUUAACUCAGAACAUUGGGGCAACAUGCUUCCUCUUCCAUUUCAGAGUUUGGCCCAUCUCCUUUGUUUCUUUACUGCUUGUACUCCAUGGUAACUUGUAUUGGGCCAUUCUUCUCUUCUUUGCUGCAACUCCCACAACAUCAUCAAACCUCUUGAAACAGAGGCCUUCAUAAACAUCACAAAUGGGAAAUUCAGAUGGGCAGCAAUAGUCUGAUCCAUGACAGCAAACACCAUUCUCAUAAGGACAACACUGAUGACGGAAGCAUAUGCCAAAGAAAUACAACUCACAACAACAUGUUUCAUAUUCAGGACAAUAAUACCAGUCUCCACAUUCACUUGGCUUAGGAUAAGGUGGUGGAGGGGGGGGAG
rnacentral:misc_RNA from 1 species